rnacentral:rRNA from 1 species
UCGGGAAUUUUGGGCAAUGGGCGAAAGCCUGACCCAGCAACGCCGCGUGAAGGAUGAAGUAUUUCGGUAUGUAAACUUCGAAAGAAUGGGAAGAAUAAAUGACGGUACCAUUUAUAAGCUCCGGCUAACUACGUGCCAGCAGCCGCGGUAAUACGUAGGGAGCAAGCGUUGUUCGGAUUUACUGGGCGUAAAGGGCGCGUAGGCGGCGCGGUAAGUCACUUGUGAAAUCUCUGAGCUUAACUCAGAACGGCCAAGUGAUACUGCAGUGCUAGAGUGCAGAAGGGGCAAUCGGAAUUCUUGGUGUAGCGGUGAAAUGCGUAGAUAUCAAGAGGAACACCUGAGGUGAAGACGGGUUGCUGGGCUGACACUGACGCUGAGGCGCGAAAGCCAGGGGAGCAAACGGGAUUAGAUACCCAGGUAGCCCUGAGCGGGCUGGCAAGGCGCAU